rnacentral:pre_miRNA from 1 species
CGACCUCGCCGGAUCUGGCGAGGUCGAGCCCUUGCUAGAUCUGGCGAGGGCUGGCGAGGCUCGACCUCGCCAGAUCCAGCGAGGGCA